GAUGAACGCUGGCGGCGUGCCUAAUACAUGCAAGUCGAGCGGACGGACGAGAAGCUUGCUUCUCUGAUGUUAGCGGCGGACGUGAGAGUAACACGUGGAUAACCUACCUAUAAGACUGGGAUAACUUCGGGAAACCGGAGCUAAUACCGGAUAAUAUUUUGACCCGCAUGGUUCAAAAGUGAAAGACGGUCUUGCUGUCACUUACAGAUGGAUCCGCGCUGCAUUAGCUAGUUGGUAAGGUAACGGCUUACCAAGGCAACGAUGCUUAGCCGACCUGAGAGGGUGAUCGGCCACCCUGGAACUGAGACACGGUCCAGACUCCUACGGGAGGCCGCAGUAGGGACUCUUACGCAAUGGGCGAAAGCCUGACGGAGCAACGCCGCGUGAGUCAUGAAGGUCUUCGGAUCGUAGAACUCUGUUAUUAUGCAAGAACAUAUGUGUAAGUAACUGUGCACAUCUUGACGGUACCUAAUCAGAAAGCCCCGGCUAACUACGUG
rnacentral:rRNA from 1 species